rnacentral:rRNA from 1 species
UGGGGAAUAUUGCACAAUGGGCGAAAGCCUGAUGCAGCAACGCCGCGUGAGUGAAGAAGGUCUUCGGAUUGUAAAGCUCUGUCUUUUGGGACGAUAAUGACGGUACCAAAGGAGGAAGCCACGGCUAACUACGUGCCAGCAGCCGCGGUAAUACGUAGGUGGCAAGCGUUGUCCGGAUUUACUGGGCGUAAAGGAUGUGUAGGCGGAUAUUUAAGUGAGAUGUGAAAUCCCCGGGCUUAACUUGGGGGCUGCAUUUCAAACUGGAUAUCUAGAGUGCAGGAGAGGAAAGCGGAAUUCCUAGUGUAGCGGUGAAAUGCGUAGAGAUUAGGAAGAACAUCAGUGGCGAAGGCGGCUUUCUGGACUGUAACUGACGCUGAGGCAUGAAAGCGUGGGGAGCAAA